ensembl:lncRNA
UAGGGAGGCCUGGCGUGCUGCGGUCCAUGGGGUCGCAAAGUGUCAGACACGAUUGAGUGACCGAACUGAACCGAGCAUAAUCUACCUGAAGACGUGGCACAGCUAGAACUAAUGAAGCUCUAACAGAGCCCAAGGCGCUGCAGAGAUCAUUUUCAAAGAGAGCCAUCGAAUGUCACCGUGCUGUGCAACAGGGGAGCUAGACGCGGAAGGUCAGGGAAGAAGGCUGACGGAGGGACCAGGGAGAGGAGAGGAAGACCAGCGGACAGCAGUCACUCCACACCCCGCAAGGACCACGGUCUGGCCCUGACGAUGAAUCUUCGGCAGAGAGGAAAUUCAGCACUGGAGGGAGGACCCAUAACUGUCGUAACUCACUGCUUCCUGCGUGUUUAUAGAACUGGGUUAUUAUACAGGCUGU